CGCACAUUGCACCUCUUGGUAUUCCUUGAGGUAUGCCUGUUCGAGCGCCGUUUGACUCUAGGACAUUGUCCUGUGUUGAGCUUUGUGGUUUUCCACAGGCUCCAAAAUCAUAUGCCCAAGCCACUUGCGCAAAAGCAGCGAAAGUGCUUCCACCAAUUGGGACUGGGCAAGUCAACGACCGCAUGGCCUCGAAUCAGGUAGGGCUACCCGCUGAACUUAA
rnacentral:misc_RNA from 1 species